rnacentral:rRNA from 1 species
CAAGUCGAAGGGGCACUUCGGUGCCACUGGCGCACGGGUGAGUAACACGUAGGUUAUCUGCCCCCAUCACAGUGACAACCUCGGGAAACCGAGGCUAAACACUGAUGAGGCCGAGAGGUCAAAGCGAAAGCGGAUGGGGAUGAGCCUGCGGCUGAUUAGCUAGUUGGUGAGGUAAUGGCUCACCAAGGCGACGAUCAGUAGCUGGUCUGAGAGGACGAACAGCCACACUGGAACUGAGACACGGUCCAGACUCCUACGGGAGGCAGCAGUGAGGAAUAUUGGUCAAUGGGCGCAAGCCUGAACCAGCAAUGCCGCGUGUGGGACGACGGGGCUUCGCCUUGUAAACCACUGUCGGAUGGGACGAGAGGGAGUAAGAACUCCUGGGACGGUACCAUCAAAGGAAGGGUCGGCUAACUACGUGCCAGCAGCCGCGGUAAUACGUAGGACCCAAGCGUUGUCCGGAUUUACUGGGUAUAAAGGGUGCGUAGGCGGUCUUGUGCGUCAGAGGUGAAAUAUCCGGGCUUAACCCGGAGGGUGCCUUUGAUACGGCAGGACUUGAGUGCGAGAGAGGAUGAUGGAAUUCCUGGUGUAGCGGUGAAAUGCGUAGAUAUCAGGAGGAACACCGGUGGCGAAGGCGGUCAUCUGGCUCGUAACUGACGCUGAGGCACGAAAGCGCGGGGAUCAAACAGGAUUAGAUACCCUGGUAGUCCGCGCCCUAAACGAUGUAUGCUUGGUGUUGGGCUCGCAAGAGCUCAGUGCCGUAGGGAAUCUGAUAAGCAUACCACCUGGGGAGUACGAUCGCAAGGUUGAAACUCAAAGGAAUUGACGG